GACGAACGCUGGCGGCGUGCUUAACACAUGCAAGUCGAACGGUAAGGCCCUUCGGGGUACACGAGUGGCGAACGGGUGAGUAACACGUGGGUGAUCUGCCCUGCACUUCGGGAUAAGCCUGGGAAGCUGGGUCUAAUACCGGAUAGGACCACUGCCUGCAUGGGUGGUGGUGGAAAGCUUUUGCGGUGUGGGAUGGGCCCGCGGCCUAUCAGCUUGUUGGUGGGGUGAUGGCCUACCAAGGCGACGACGGGUAGCCGGCCUGAGGGGGUGGCCGGCCACACUGGGACUGAGAUACGGCCCAGACUCCUACGGGAGGCAGCAUUGGGGAAUAUUGCGCAAUGGGCGCAAGCCUGAUGCAGCGACGCCGCGUGAGGGAUGACGGCCUUCGGGUUGUAAACCUCUUUCAGCACCGACGAAGCGCAAGUGACGGUAGGUGCAGAAGAAGGACCGGCCAACUACGUGCCAGCCGCCGCAGUAACAC
rnacentral:rRNA from 1 species